ensembl:lncRNA
GUUGAUUCUCUCGCUUAUGCAACUGAAAGCAUAUCUACUGAUUUUUUCAUCUCCUAUUUUUGAUUUAAUUAACAUGCAACAUGUUUCACUUUCAGCCGUGCAGCUCGUAAAUUGUCGUCCUUGGAGAAACAUAUCGUAAUUUUUAAGGAGUACCUAUGCUUGAAAAAUAUGCGGGUCCAGAAAAACAGGAAUAAAACAGGUCAGGAUGAAAAUGAAGAAGAACAGGAGGAGAAGGAGGAUGAUUUUGUCCGAUAGUAACCCGGGCAGUGGAGGAAGGGAGGUUUGUCCGAUAGUAACCUCGGCACAGAGAAUGAUGGAGAAAAGCAGAGUAGGAGGGGGUGGUGUACAUAUCACCUAAAUUUAACUCCGCAUCGCAAAAAUGUGUCACAUCUGUUUGCUGUGCUUUAAAGAAAUUACUGCCCUAAAACUGCAUGGUUUUUAAAACCGUGUCAGUGCCACAUUACACCCGUGGUCUUUUGCACUAAGCAAUGCGGCGAGAUAAACACGACACGGGAGUUUAUUAUUAUUUUUUCUUAUAUUUGCAUAUAUUUAUCUAAUGACUGUCACAGAUAACAUUGAAUUGGUCUAAAUACAAUAGGACACCUUUCUCCUAACUGUGCAGCAGGCUACACAAAUGACUCCCGUAUUCAGGAGUUCUGUUAUACCGACUCCCUGCAUGCAACGUAGACAUCUUAUGUAACAUUAAGGAGCUGUGGGAAAUUUGAUUGACUAAAACAUUAGUAACAUAACAUAAUAAUGAGGUUCUUUCCCCCACUUGUUCUAAAUUCCGGACUAUUGUGUUCUAUUGUCUGGCAUUCGUGUAGGGCAGUAUCAUUUAUGAUUAUGGCAGCAAGUGUCACUGUUCCUUAAGUGCUCCACAGAAUGCAGUUUACCUUCCUCUCUUCUCAGGAAGUGAAAAAUGCAGAAUGUCCUAAAGACACAUGCAUAACACAAUCAGCGUAGUCUUUAAAUUCAUAUUUGUCAGAUGUCAGCGGACAUACAUAUUUAGCCUAUCUGGAAAAAUGAGCCCACGUUAAAGAUGUGUGCUAGUAUCUACAUCUAGAUGAAGGUACUAGCGAUUUAUCUGUGGACAUCAUUAAUGGAAUAUAACAUCAGUGUGGAAGUCAUUGCCUUUAAUCAUUGCCUAAAGCAGGAGGCUGGCUGGAGUUAUUAAAAAAAAAAAUAAAUUAAAAAAUGGUACUUUAUUCUACUGCAGUCUGUGCCCUGUGAUAUUUUUUGUGUUUGACUUUUGUGUUACAAUAUGUAUAUUUAUCAUAUUUAUUGUGUAUGUUAUUCAUUUAAAUAUUUUUUAAAGGCCCAACAAGGGACAGACAUAUUUCUUUUUCUAUUUCUUUUUCCAUCUUUAAUCUUACGGUUUUCGGAG